rnacentral:lncRNA from 1 species
CUGUAAAGCUCUGUGACUCAGAAACAUUAUGAUGCUUCUAUUUUAAAUAGUUUCUCCAGGCUUUCCUUUGUGAUGCUUUUCAACUCAAGAAAAAGAGAGAAAAAGAAAAAAAAAAAGCUGCAUGACUGCAGGUUAAAAAAGGAAGAAGAAAAAGAAGAAAACAAACAAUGAAGAGCGUGAAGCAGGAAGGGAGCCAGGAUGGGGCCAUGUGCGUGAUUCACAGCUCCUGCCCUACACUCCUGUAUAGGCUGCAAAUGCAUUUGCUCCCACCUUUCUGGUCAGCCUUCAGUCCUGGGCUCUGGGAACCAAGUGGUGCACACAUAAGGAUACAAUGGUGUGAAUGUCAUUAAAGGAGAAGAAAAUUCAUCAUCUUAUACACUGAAAUGGUACGAUCUUUCCAUAUUAUCCUUGCUUAUUUGCUGUAGCAUUUAAGAGUUAAUGUUUCCUAAGAUGUGUUUGGGUUUUAAAUAAAACAUGAGAUCUAGAAUACAGUAUCUAGUGACACUGAGCAUCUUCCCAAAGCGCAGGUAAGAG